UACGAAGGGGGCUAGCGUUGCUCGGAAUCACUGGGCGUAAAGCGCACGUAGGCGGAUUGUUAAGUCAGGGGUGAAAUCCUGGAGCUCAACUCCAGAACUGCCCUUGAUACUGGCGAUCUCGAGUCCGGGAGAGGUGAGUGGAGCUGCGAGUGUAGAGGUGAAAUUCGUAGAUAUUCGCAAGAACACCAGUGGCGAAGGCGGCUCACUGGCCCGGUACUGACGCUGAGGUGCGAAAGCGUGGGGAGCAAACAGG
rnacentral:rRNA from 1 species